CAGUAAAUAAUUUAAUAAAAAUACUAAUUUUGGAAAUUAGAUAUAGGAUAAUUUUAAUCCUUUUACUGAU
rnacentral:tRNA from 1 species